CGGAGCUUGCUCCGUGACUUCAGCGGCGGACGGGUGAGUAACACGUGGGCAACCUGCCUGUAAGACUGGGAUAACUUCGGGAAACCGGAGCUAAUACCGGAUAACUCUUCGGACCACAUGGACUGAAGAUAAAAGAUGGUUCUGCUAUCACCUACAGAUGGGCCCGCGGCGCAUUAGCUAGUUGGUGAGGUAACGGCUCACCAAGGCGACGAUGCGUAGCCGACCUGAGAGGGUGAUCGGCCACACUGGGACUGAGACACGGCCCAGACUCCUACGGGAGGCAGCAGUAGGGAAUCUUCCGCAAUGGACGAAAGUCUGACGGAGCAACGCCGCGUGAGCGAUGAAGGCCUUCGGGUCGUAAAGCUCUGUUGUUAGGGAAGAACAAGUAUCAGUUAACUGCUGGUACCUUGACGGUACCUAACGAGAAAGCCACGGCUAACUACGUGCCAGCAGCCGCGGUAAUACGUAGGUGGCAAGCGUUGUCCGGAUUUAUUGGGCGUAAAGCGCGCGCAGGCGGUUCUUUAAGUCUGAUGUGAAAGCCCACGGCUCAACCGUGGAGGGUCAUUGGAAACUGGGGAACUUGAGUGCAGAAGAGGAGAGCGGAAUUCCACGUGUAGCGGUGAAAUGCGUAGUAGAU
rnacentral:rRNA from 1 species